rnacentral:rRNA from 1 species
GACGAAGGGGGCUAGCGUUGUUCGGAAUUACUGGGCGUAAAGCGCGUGUAGGCGGUUAUCCAAGUCGGGUGUGAAAGCCUUGAGCUCAACUCAAGAAAUGCACUCGGUACUGGGUGACUAGAGGACCGGAGAGGAUAGUGGAAUUCCCAGUGUAGUGGUGAAAGUACGUAGAGAUUGGGAAGAACACCAGUGGCGAAGGCGGCUAUCUGGACGGUUUCUGACGCUAAGACGCGAAAGCGUGGGGAGCAAACAGG